rnacentral:SRP_RNA from 1 species
UUGCGGGCUAGCCCGGGUAACCCGGCGUCACCUGUAACCCGAAACCGCCGAUAUGCGGGGGGCGAAGCCAGUAGAAGAGACUUCAAACGCUGUUAAAGAGCGGAUAUUCAACAAUGAGUCCCCGUCCUGUGGGGAUGGCGUUGGUAGUUGCGUCUGCCGGAGGGCAGGUUCACUAUCUUUAUUGCGGAAAACGGUUCAGGCCCGGAAGGGAGCAGACUAUGCCGCAGACGACCGUCGCUUACAGGGUAGCGGAGAGGAGGCGGGUCUCCGAAUCACUGAGCAGUGCGCGGGUGGCGACUGCUGGCGUGCCCGCAA